rnacentral:siRNA from 1 species
ACUAGUUAGGGGUGUUAAUUGU